AUGGCCCUGACAGUAGUUACAUUACAGCUGUUGGUUUCAAACAGAGACCUAGAGGACUGCCUUCCUGUGGUCUGUUGGCUAUUCUGGAAUCUCAGCUGCGAAUGGCUGUUUCAUUUGGAAGAAACAACC
ensembl:snoRNA